AGCAUUUUUUACAACGGUUAAAAAAAUCACUACCGGUUGAUAGCUGUUCCAUCUGGCUUUCGUACAACCGACCCGUGAUGGAUAGUCCACAUGAAGACACAGUGUUAGAUGGCAACAAAAUGAAGACGUGACCCAAGAAAACCCAGAGACAGUGCAAGUACUUAAAUGAAUACUCUUAAUUAACUAUUAAAUGAACAAUUUAAAUUGUAGAUUUUCUUAUCUUAAACCAUAGUCUGUCAAGAUAUGAUGGUCUGGAAGCCUGGCAAACUUCAAAGGUACAAAAUAGAAGG